rnacentral:rRNA from 1 species
UACGGAGGGGGCUAGCGUUGUUCGGAAAUACUGGCGUAAAGCGCACGUAGGCGGUGGAGUAAGUCAGAGGUGAAAUCCCAGGGCUCAACCCUGGAACUGCCUUUGAAACUGCUACACUAGAAUCAUGGAGAGGUCAGUGGAAUUCCGAGUGUAGAGGUGAAAUUCGUAGAUAUUCGGAAGAACACCAGUGGCGAAGGCGACUGACUGGACAUGUAUUGACGCUGAGGUGCGAAAGCGUGGGGAGCAAACAGG